rnacentral:rRNA from 1 species
UACAGAGGGUGCGAGCGUUAAUCGGAAUUACUGGGCGUAAAGCGUGCGUAGACGGCUAUCUAAGUCGGGUGUGAAAGCCCCGGGCUCAACCUGGGAAUUGCAUUCGAGACUGAAUAGCUAGGGUACGGUAGAGGGAAGCGGAAUUUCCGGUGUAGCGGUGAAAAUGCGUAGAUAUCGGAAGGAACAUCAGUGGCGAAAGCGGCUUCCUGGACCAGUACCGACGUCAGGCACGAAAGCGUGGGGAGCAAACAGGA